rnacentral:rRNA from 1 species
GAUGAACGCUGGCGGCGUGCCUAAUACAUGCAAGUCGAGCGAACAGAUAAGGAGCUUGCUCCUUUGACGUUAGCGGCGGACGGGUGAGUAACACGUGGGUAACCUACCUAUAAGACUGGAAUAACUCCGGGAAACCGGGGCUAAUGCCGGAUAACAUUUAGAACCGCAUGGUUCUAAAGUGAAAGAUGGUUUUGCUAUCACUUAUAGAUGGACCCGCGCCGUAUUAGCUAGUUGGUAAGGUAACGGCUUACCAAGGCAACGAUACGUAGCCGACCUGAGAGGGGGAUAGGCCACACGGGAACGGAGACACGGUCAAGAGGACUAAGGGAGGCAGCAGUAGGGAAUCUUACGCAAUGGGCGAAAGCAUGACGGAGCAACGCCGCGUGAGUGAUGAAGGUCUUCGGAUCGGAAAACUCUGUUAUGAGGGAAGAACAAAUGUGUAAGUAACUGUGCACGGCUUGACGGUACCUAAUCAGAAAGCCACGGCUAACUACGUG